rnacentral:misc_RNA from 1 species
UAUUGGCUUGUCAGUACUAGAGAUUGGAGGCUGCUCAUUGGUUUGAAAGCCUGUGGAUACAUGCGACACAGUUGGCGUUUUUGUGCCAACAGUUAAACAAGUUAAAAUCAUCAUCGUUCGAAUAUUGUUUGAUCGAAAAUUUCUUGUUUUCUAAUGCAUCGAGUAAAGGAAAAUUUUAGUUUUUCUUUUGUCUAUAUCCCAGCGCGCUGGAGUUGACGAAAAAUUAUGCCUGCUUUCUGAUAAACGCUAUCCGUAGCUGGUUUUCAAAGCUUCCACAAGUUCUCUUGUCCAAAUUCCAGGGGUGAUUGGGCAACUUGAAGUUUAUAUAAAAUAUAUAAAACAGGCAAUUAGCCUAUGGAUGAGAAGAUUUUCAGGUGCUUAGAAUGAAGAAGAUGAAUUGGGGUGUAAAUUUACCCUGGAGCAGAUUCUGAAAUUGCAGAUACUUCUCCAAUCGAGAAACCAUCCUUUGAUGUUAUCCGGCGAUGUAUUCUAAUUUAUAUAUGUUAUUCCCAGAGCUUCGACGGCACACUGAUUUAUUCUAAUGCAUGGCGAUCACAAGUUAAUGAGUAUGAUAGUCUCAAGACAUCAUCUUUUGUGUAGAAAGAACAGAGCAAGUGCAAGACCAAAUCAUGAAAGGGGGCCUUUGAAGAUGUUGCGCUAUUACUGGGUUCUUGAAGAUCUUUGUUUAGGGACCACCUUGCACUUCAGAAUAUCAACUCAUUUGAAGGUUGGCAUGUGGUGCAAACAAGACAUGCUGUGUUAUCCCGUUGGAUUUUGUUGGUGUUGUUAGGUACACCAAAUUCCCCAUGUCAAGAUUUCUUUUCAUCUCCAUUCCCCUUCCUCUCAAUGUGUCUCAUCAAUUAAAGUCACUAAUGCCUUUCCCACCCCCACCCCCAUCUAAAAUAGGUUAUUUAGUUUAAUUUAUUCAACGUUCUGAGUUAGGUUGAAAAUUAGAUUGAAACCAAAACUUUGGGACUAAAGCUCAACCUCCUACUCGAAUCUUGAACAGAACCAAAAUCAAUAGUUUGACUUAAUAGUCUGAUUUGGUUUAAUUCAAUUUUUUUUAAUCUAAAAAAAAGGAAAAGAACCAAAAUAAGUUGACUUAAGGUAGCUCAUGGUCAGAUCCGGUCUGAUUCAAUGAUGAUUUUGAUUUCAAAUUGAGUCUUUUUCAUUUUUAGUUUUAGGUAAUUCAAUCUGAUUUAAUUCACAUAACUUCUUGUGUUUGCCAAAUGACCCCUUUUUAAAACCUGAUUCAAAUAGGAUUGAACAGCUAGACCAAAUUGCCAAUUAUAAUUUAUAAAAUUAAGAUUACUG